GCCCCAGUAGCUAACACACCCAAAGCGUUGGCCUUGUAAACCAAAGACGGGAAUACCCCCUGGGGCA
rnacentral:tRNA from 1 species